rnacentral:rRNA from 1 species
UUCUGGGAGGAUUGACAGACUGAGAGCUCUUUCUGGAUUCGGUGGAUGGUGGUGCAUGUCCGUUCUUAGUUGGUGGAGUGAUUUGUCUGGUUAAUUCCUAUAACGAACGAGACUCUGGCCUAUUAAAUAGGUGCGGGGUUCUCUGCACCUUGCACAUAUUAAAUAGGUGCGUGGUUCUCUGCACCUUGCACCCUUCUUAAAUUGACAAGCAGCUCCUAGCCGCACGAAACAGAGCAAUAACAGGUCUGUGAUGCCCUUAGAU